rnacentral:rRNA from 1 species
UACGAAGGGUGCAAGCGUUACUCGGAAUCACUGGGCGUAAAGCGUGCGUAGGCGGUUUCUUAAGUCUGUCGUGAAAGCCCUGGGCUCAACCUGGGAAUGGCGAUGGAUACUGGGAGGCUAGAGUGUGAUAGAGGAUGGUGGAAUUCCCGGUGUAGCGGUGAAAUGCGUAGAGAUCGGGAGGAACACCAGUGGCGAAGGCGGCCAUCUGGGCCAGAUCCGACACUGAGGCGCGAAAGCGUGGGGAGCAAACAGG